UACGAAGGGUGCUAGCGUUGCUCGGAAUCACUGGGCGUAAAGCGCACGUAGGCGGACUCUUAAGUCGGGGGUGAAAUCCUGGAGCUCAACUCCAGAACUGCCUUCGAUACUGGGAGUCUUGAGUUCGGGAGAGGUGAGUGGAACUGCGAGUGUAGAGGUGAAAUUCGUAGAUAUUCGCAAGAACACCAGUGGCGAAGGCGGCUCACUGGCCCGAUACUGACGCUGAGGUGCGAAAGCGUGGGGAGCAAACAGG
rnacentral:rRNA from 1 species